UACAGGGGUGCAAACGUUGCUCGGAAUCAUUGGGCGUAAAGCGCACGUAGGCGGUUCGUUAUGUCGGAUGUGAAAGCCCUUGGCUUAACCGAGGAAGUGCAUCCGAAACUGGCGAGCUAGAGUACUAAAGAGGAUCGCGGAAUUCCCGGUGUAGAGGUGAAAUUCGUAGAUAUCGGGAGGAACACCGGUGGCGAAGGCGGCGAUCUGGGUAGAGUACUGACGCUGAGGUGCGAAAGCGUGGGGAGCAAACAGG
rnacentral:rRNA from 1 species